CGUCUGUGGCAAUGGCUUUCUAUAGCUUUCCCCCGCCUCAGCGUUCUGCGCUUUUUACAGAACGUUGUAAUAAUUAACUGUUAUUCAGUCAGCGGCAAAGUGAAGCUGUCGGAUGUUACCAAUACAGGAAGGAAAGAAAGGGAGCUGUCCUGCAGUAUGCAGUGUAGUGCCCCAGACCAUCCUUUGUCAAGCUUCCCCGGAAAGCAAUGAUUGCCCUCAGAGUGAAUGUCUUUCCUUGGAGAACCAUAUUGGAAGGAAAUUCACUCAAGCAAAAUUCUGUUUGGUUUGCAAGUUCUGAUGGACACUGAGAAUGCUCCAGGAUUGGUCUGAGGCAGGGAGUCUCAGGCAGGCAGAGUCCUUCUUCCACAGCAGUGUCAAGCUGAGCCAUACCAGAAUCCAUCAAGUGGCACUUCCCUUGUCAUUCCUUUGCUGAGGGUGGCCAAAUUCGGUAGGUGGCUUGGCUCAGGAUCUCCAACAUCCAUUAGAUCUGCUGCCUUUGCUGACCUCCAUACAGCUGGUUCCAUCCUGCCCUCACACAGCUCUUUCGCAAUCUGUUCACGCAGGUUUCCAGACAUGAACCGCUUGGAACAGCCAGUGUGCAGGGAGAUGUCUGUAUUUUUUAUGUAACACUGGAGCAUCAUUGGGCUAUUAAUUGCUGGCUCUCUGUCACAUUUCAUUUCCAAAUUGCCUUUACAUUCCUUACAGUAGCCUCUAAUCUGUAUGUAAUCAUUGGUGACAGUUGGAUAAACCUUGGCUCUAUCGAACACAAAUGUGCAU